rnacentral:rRNA from 1 species
AGUGAACGCUGGCGGUAGGCCUAACACAUGCAAGUCGAACGGCAGCACAGAGGAGCUUGCUCCUUGGGUGGCGAGUGGCGGACGGGUGAGGAAUACAUCGGAAUCUACUCUGUCGUGGGGGAUAACGUAGGGAAACUUACGCUAAUACCGCAUACGACCUACGGGUGAAAGCAGGGGAUCUUCGGACCUUGCGCGAUUGAAUGAGCCGAUGUCGGAUUAGCUAGUUGGCGGGGUAAAGGCCCACCAAGGCGACGAUCCGUAGCUGGUCUGAGAGGAUGAUCAGACACACUGGAACUGAGACACGGUCCAGACUCCUACGGGAGGCAGCAGUGGGGAAUAUUGAACAAUGGGCGCAAGCCUGAUCCAGCCAUACCGCGUGGGCGAAGAAGGCCUUCGGGUUGUAAAGCCCUUUUGUUGGGAAAGAAAUCCAUCUGGUUAAUACCCGGGUGGGAUGACGGUACCCAAAGAAUAAGCACCGGCUAACUUCGUGCCAGCCGCCGCCGUAA